AACAAGGUCUCCGUUGGUGAACCAGCGGAGGGAUCAUUACCGAGUUUACAACUCCCAAACCCCUGUGAACAUACCACUUGUUGCCUCGGCGGAUCAGCCCGCUCCCGGUAAAACGGGACGGCCCGCCAGAGGACCCCUAAACUCUGUUUCUAUAUGUAACUUCUGAGUAAAACCAUAAAUAAAUCAAAACUUUCAACAACGGAUCUCUUGGUUCUGGCAUCGAUGAAGAACGCAGCAAAAUGCGAUAAGUAAUGUGAAUUGCAGAAUUCAGUGAAUCAUCGAAUCUUUGAACGCACAUUGCGCCCGCCAGUAUUCUGGCGGGCAUGCCUGUUCGAGCGUCAUUUCAACCCUCAAGCACAGCUUGGUGUUGGGACUCGCGUUAAUUCGCGUUCCCCAAAUUGAUUGGCGGUCACGUCGAGCUUCCAUAGCGUAGUAGUAAAACCCUCGUUACUGGUAAUCGUCGCGGCCACGCCGUUAAACCCCAACUUCUGAAUGUUGACCUCGGAUCAGGUAGGAAUACCCGCUGAACUUAAGCAUAUCAAUAAGCGGAGGAA
rnacentral:rRNA from 1 species